rnacentral:rRNA from 1 species
GAGUUUGAUCAUGGCUCAGAUUGAACGCUGGCGGCAUGCCUUACACAUGCAAGUCGAACGGCAGCAUGAUCUAGCUUGCUAGAUUGAUGGCGAGUGGCGAACGGGUGAGUAAUACAUCGGAACGCGCCCUGUAGUGGGGGAUAACUAGUCGAAAGAUUAGCUAAUACCGCAUACGACCUGAGGGUGAAAGUGGGGGACCGCAAGGCCUCAUGCUAUAGGAGCGGCCGAUGUCUGAUUAGCUAGUUGGUGGGGUAAAGGCCCACCAAGGCGACGAUCAGUAGCUGGUCUGAGAGGACGAUCAGCCACACUGGGACUGAGACACGGCCCAGACUCCUACGGGAGGCAGCAGUGGGGAAUUUUGGACAAUGGGCGAAAGCCUGAUCCAGCAAUGCCGCGUGUGUG